CCUACGGGGGGCAGCAGUGGGGAAUAUUGGACAAUGGGGGCAACCCUGAUCCAGCCAUGCCGCGUGUGUGAAGAAGGCCCUCGGGUUGUAAAGCACUUUCAGUGAGGAAGAACGCCUGGUGGUUAAUACCCAUCAGGAAAGACAUCACUCACAGAAGAAGCACCGGCUGAACUCCGUGCCAGCAGCCGUGGUAAUACGGAGGGUGCGAGCGUUAAUCGGAAUUACUGGGCGUAAAGCGCGCGUAGGUGGCUUGAUAAGCCGGUUGUGAAAGCCCCGGGCUCAACCUGGGAACGGCAUCCGGAACUGUCAAGCUAGAGUGCAGGCGAGGAAGGUAGAAUUCCCGGUGUAGCGGUGAAAUGCGUAGAGAUCGGGAGGAAUACCAGUGGCGAAGGCGGCCUUCUGGACUGACACUGACACUGAGGUGCGAAAGCGUGGGUAGCAAACAGGAUUAGAUACCCUAGUAGUC
rnacentral:rRNA from 1 species